rnacentral:rRNA from 1 species
CGACGAUCGAUUAGGAGCCGCUCGCCCAUGUGUCGCACACCCACUGGACAAGCACCAGCAGCUCGCCGCGGGCGUUGAACCCCACCGGGCGCCUACCACAAGCCACCUCUAGGACAAAGGCACCAAAUGCGAACACGUCGGUCGCCUUGGUGGCCUUGCCAAACCUUGUCAGCUCAGGGGCGAGGUAGCCCCUCGUGCCGGCCACAUGGGUGGUGUGCG